UCAGAGGGAAGCUCACCAGUGAGGUCACGUGCAGGGUGCUUGUCACUCACGCUCCAGCCUCUGGGAAGGUCUGAGACAAGAGCCAAUAGCUGCCCUAGCAGGGCACCGCUUGCUGCAGGUGGAUGAGUUACCAGCAAUGGUGGGCCCUGGGGAGGGGCCCAAUGGGGCAGGAGAAGCUGGAGGGGGCAAAGCCCCUCCCCAGCGGAUGCCCAGUUCCCUCCCCAGGGUUUGGGAAUGACUCAUGGCUGGCCCCCCUGAGUUCAAUGGGCUGAGGUGAGGCCUCCAGGGGCCUCAUAACCCAAUUCAGACUACUCUCCCUCUGA
rnacentral:RNase_P_RNA from 1 species